UCAACAGUAUUUGCAUUUAUUUUAUUGUAUAUUCUAUUGUAUUUUCAAUUAUCUUUGAUUUGCAUUAUAGUGACAGAAUUCUACAUUAUUGGCAAUACAAAUGGGAUGAAUACCUGUUUGUUCAAAUGUAAAGUAUACUUGUUCAUCUCUAAAAACUUUACUUAAACCAUUUAGGGGCAAUAAUGAAAUCACAACCUGGGUCUACUAGCAUGGAUGCUGAAAGCCAGAUUGCAGAGACCCUUAAACAUGCACCAGGUCUGGUUAGGAGAAAGGCUAAUCGAUCAGUUGCCCCACAUUUACAAGAUGGUUCAUUGGACCUCUUCUCAUAAUUUUAAUUUUACCUGCCUGCUGCACAUCAUUCUCUGUCCCCGGAUUGUCUGCCUGGUUUUGACUUGUGCCUGCCGACUGGUUUCGGCGCUUGCCUUUUCCUCUGGAUUUGUUUAUCUUUAUUGGGCUGUUGAUGUCUGCCGAGUCUGACCUUCCCGUCUGUGCUCCCCUGUCCGCCGUGUUCUCCAGUCCUGAGUCCGCCUCAUCAGCCGGUGACCUGCUGACUGUCUCAGCUGCUUUUCUUUUGUUCAGCAAACGUUCUCAAAUGCCUUUUUUAAGCUUUUUUAUUUGUAGUCCAUUAUAUUUGAGCUAAAUAUAAUUAAUAUAACGUACUUUUUUUAAAUGUAUGUUU